ensembl:lncRNA
GUAAGUGUUUCCUUCCUAAUUUAAUUUUUAUUUUUUAAAUUCUCUAUACAUUGCCUAAAUCUCCCUCCUUGUCUCACGACAAUGGUUGUGUCACUGGCUGAGUGCUACCGCUAGCAUUUCAUCACUGCACACAAACUCUAGAUAGUCACUGACAAGCACUGCUGAAGUAUCUGAUGGAAACAGAGGAUUGCAUUGAUGAGUGGUGAACAGGGGUCAGCACGGCACUCUGACAGGUCUGCAGCUAUGCAGCAGCAUUCAGCCGAAGGAGCUGCUGAUCGUCUUCUGCCGCUGCUCCAUUGAAAGUGUGCUGACAUACUGCAUCUGUGUGUGGUUCUCCAGCUGCACCACGGC